GACAGAGGGUGCGAACGUUGUUCGGAAUUACUGGGCGUAAAGCGCAUGUAGGCGGCAACGCAAGUCGGGUGUGAAAUCCCACGGCUCAACCGUGGAAUUGCAUUCGAAACUGGAAGUCUUGAGUGUGGGAGAGAUUGGUAGAAUACCUGGUGUAGUGGUGAAAUACGUAGAUAUCAGGUGGAAUACCGAUGGCGAAGGCGGCCAAUUGGCCCAACACUGACGCUGAGAUACGAAAGCGUGGGGAUCAAACAGG
rnacentral:rRNA from 1 species